rnacentral:rRNA from 1 species
CGGGACGGGUGAGUAAUGUAUGGGGAUCUGCCUGAUGGCGGGGGAUAACUACUGGAAACGGUAGCUAAUACCGCAUAAUGUCUGCGGACCAAAGCGGGGGACCUCCGGGCCUCGCGCCAUCAGAUGAACCCAUAUGGGAUUAGCUAGUAGGUAAGGUAACGGCUUACCUAGGCGACGAUCCCUAGCUGGUCUGAGAGGAUGACCAGCCACACUGGGACUGAGACACGGCCCAG